UUUUAUUAUUUUAUCACCACCACUUCACGAUUGUCUUUGUUGCAUUUUGAGAGCAACAAAGUCAGUUUUAUGUUUUGCAAUUUCCUGAGCACUGAUUGUUUAUUAAUCCAGAUUUUUGCUGAAUAUAUUACUGUCUUGUGUCUGUCCCUGUAGCCUAAAAAUGAUUUUGUUAUGGGUCUGUGCUGUUUUCUGGUGUUCGCUCAGUCUUUAGCUCUCUGCUGUUAUAUAUAGUUGAAGUCACUAUAUGGAAAAAAUGGGACCAAUGAAGAGCAAGAACCUGACCAGAGGAUGCAGAGACUGAUGAUUAAAAGCAGCAAUGUAAACGUUGCUAGUUUUGCUGUCUGCUAGCUCACUUGGUUUGAUAACAGGCUUAGCCAGAGUGGGAACUUAACCAGCAUCAAGGAUACAAAUGAAAUGCUCUGACCAUGAUCAAUAAAUAAGAUGCUGCCUAUCUCUCCAACCAAAUUACAGGAAAAGAAGAACAUGAUCAGGCCAGGACUGCAAGCAAUGUAAUCAUUUUUUAUAUAUAAUUAACUAUAAAUGUACAAUUUCUAUAAAAGUUUUUCAGUAAGUAGGUGAAGCAAGAUUUUGAUUAACCACUAAAUAGACUAUACUACUACUUUUACACUGUUCUGUACAAAACUUUAAGUCUGAUUUGUCAAAUUCAGCAUAAUGGACCAGUCCACUGUUUCAGACUUUACUCAGUGAUUGUUGAAAAGCUGUAGAUUUGAUUGGGUUUUUUCCCAUUACCUUAAUUUCUUAAAUGAAUAAAUCAACACAUUCUGCUAAGUCACUACAUAUACAUAAAUGAUAUGAUCUGUAAAGCUGAGAUUUGUACCAUAUUGAGUAAUAAUUAUUUGCUGUCUGCAUCAUUCAGGCCAUGUUAACAUCCUGGUGAAGAGUGAGUGUUGCUGAACAAAGAUCAGGAAGUUUUGCCUGCAGUUAAGAGACCAGUGGGCUUUUCCCCAAAAGCUUGUCUUGUGCAGACACCAGCAGGUCCCCCAUGUUCAGAAGAUAGUUGUGGAUCCAUGUAAGUACACAAAAGAAAAAUAAGACCUUAUUUGGAAAUUGUCAAUUGUCUAAUAUUGUACUGCUACUUUCACAAACCCGCUCUGGAUCCUUUGAAUAUCAACCAAAAAUAGAAAUCACUUCCAAACUUCAAAAUUAUUACCUGUGACUUCAAAGCAGCAUGUUCCUUUUAUAUUUUCUGUAGUUUUUAAAAUUGUGAACCACAGUAAAUUUUCAGGGGUCUUGGAAAUGACUGCAAAAAUGGCAAAAAUCUCCUACCUAAAAGGUCUGUUAUAUUGGGUGACUUUUAGGUGAUACAGAUCUUUUCCACCAUUUCCACUGGUGUCCCACAAGACUCGGUACUUGGUUAUGCAUGCAUGACAUUACAGAAAUAUUGAGUUGGCAAUAUU